rnacentral:rRNA from 1 species
UACGUAGGGUGCAAGCGUUGUCCGGAAUUAUUGGGCGUAAAGAGCUCGUAGGCGGUUUGUCGCGUCUGCCGUGAAAGUCCGGGGCUCAACUCCGGAUCUGCGGUGGGUACGGGUAGACUAGAGUGAUGUAGGGGAGACUGGAAUUCCUGGUGUAGCGGUGAAAUGCGCAGAUAUCAGGAGGAACACCGAUGGCGAAGGCAGGUCUCUGGGCAUUAACUGACGCUGAGGAGCGAAAGCAUGGGGAGCGAACAGG